rnacentral:rRNA from 1 species
UACGAAGGGGGCUAGCGUUGCUCGGAAUUACUGGGCGUAAAGGGCGCGUAGGCGGCUUAGUUAGUCAGGCGUGAAAUUCCUGGGCUCAACCUGGGGACUGCGCUUGAUACGGCUAGGCUAGAGGAUGGAAGAGGGUCGCGGAAUUCCCAGUGUAGAGGUGAAAUUCGUAGAUAUUGGGAAGAACACCCAUGGCGAAGGCAGCAAACUGGUCAUCAACUGACGCUGAGGCGCGAAAGCGUGGGUAGCAAACAGG